GGGUUGUGAGGUUAAGCGACUAAGCGUACACGGUGGAUGCCCUGGCAGUCAGAGGCGAUGAAGGACGUGCUAAUCUGCGAAAAGCGUCGGUAAGGUGAUAUGAACCGUUAUANNNNNNNNNNNNNNNNNNNNNNNNNNNNNNNNNNNNNNNNNCACUAUCGUUAACUGAAUACAUAGGUUAACGAGGCGAACCGGGGGAACUGAAACAUCUAAGUACCCCGAGGAAAAGAAAUCAACCGAGAUUCCCCCAGUAGCGGCGAGCGAACGGGGAGCAGCCCAGAGUCUGAAUCAGCUUGUGUGUUAGUGGAACGGUCUGGAAAGUCCGACGGUACAGGGUGAUAGUCCCGUACACCAAAAUGCACAGGUUGUGAACUCGAAGAGUAGGGCGGGACACGUGGUAUCCUGUCUGAAUAUGGGGGGACCAUCCUCCAAGGCUAAAUACUCCUGACUGACCGAUAGUGAACCAGUACCGUGAGGGAAAGGCGAAAAGAACCCCGGCGAGGGGAGUGAAAAAGAACCUGAAACCGUGUACGUACAAGCAGUGGGAGCACCUUCGGGUGUGACUGCGUACCUUUUGUAUAAUGGGUCAGCGACUUAUAUUCUGUAGCAAGGUUAACCGUAUAGGGGAGCCGCAGGGAAACCGAGUCUUAACUGGGCGUUAAGUUGCAGGGUAUAGACCCGAAACCCGGUGAUCUAGCCAUGGGCAGGUUGAAGGUUGGGUAACACUAACUGGAGGACCGAACCGACUAAUGUUGAAAAAUUAGCGGAUGACUUGUGGCUGGGGGUGAAAGGCCAAUCAAACCGGGAGAUAGCUGGUUCUCCCCGAAAGCUAUUUAGGUAGCGCCUCGUGAAUUCAUCUUCGGGGGUAGAGCACUGUUUCGGCUAGGGGGUCAUCCCGACUUACCAACCCGAUGCAAACUACGAAUACCGAAGAAUGUUAUCACGGGAGACACACGGCGGGUGCUAACGUCCGUCGUGAAGAGGGAAACAACCCAGACCGCCAGCUAAGGUCCCAAAGUCAUGGUUAAGUGGGAAACGAUGUGGGAAGGCACAGACAGCCAGGAUGUUGGCUUAGAAGCAGCCAUCAUUUAAAGAAAGCGUAAUAGCUCACUGGUCGAGUCGGCCUGCGCGGAAGAUGUAACGGGGCUAAACCAUGCACCGAAGCUGCGGCAGCGACACGAUGUGUUGUUGGGUAGGGGAGCGUUCUGUAAGCCUGCGAAGGUGUGCUGUGAGGCAUGCUGGAGGUAUCAGAAGUGCGAAUGCUGACAUAAGUAACGAUAAAGCGGGUGAAAAGCCCGCUCGCCGGAAGACCAAGGGUUCCUGUCCAACGUUAAUCGGGGCAGGGUGAGUCGACCCCUAAGGCGAGGCCGAAAGGCGUAGUCGAUGGGAAACAGGUUAAUAUUCCUGUACUUGGUGUUACUGCGAAGGGGGGACGGAGAAGGCUAUGUUAGCCGGGCGACGGUUGUCCCGGUUUAAGCAUGUAGGCUGGUUAUCCAGGCAAAUCCGGAUAAUCAAGGCUGAGGUGUGAUGACGAGGCACUACGGUGCUGAAGUAACAAAUGCCCUGCUUCCAGGAAAAGCCUCUAAGCAUCAGGUAACAUCAAAUCGUACCCCAAACCGACACAGGUGGUCAGGUAGAGAAUACCAAGGCGCUUGAGAGAACUCGGGUGAAGGAACUAGGCAAAAUGGUGCCGUAACUUCGGGAGAAGGCACGCUGGUGUGUAGGUGAAGUCCCUGCGGAUGGAGCUGAGACCAGUCGAAGAUACCAGCUGGCUGCAACUGUUUAUUAAAAACACAGCACUGUGCAAACACGAAAGUGGACGUAUACGGUGUGACGCCUGCCCGGUGCCGGAAGGUUAAUUGAUGGGGUUAUCCGUAAGGAGAAGCUCUUGAUCGAAGCCCCGGUAAACGGCGGCCGUAACUAUAACGGUCCUAAGGUAGCGAAAUUCCUUGUCGGGUAAGUUCCGACCUGCACGAAUGGCGUAAUGAUGGCCAGGCUGUCUCCACCCGAGACUCAGUGAAAUUGAACUCGCUGUGAAGAUGCAGUGUACCCGCGGCAAGACGGAAAGACCCCGUGAACCUUUACUAUAGCUUGACACUGAACAUUGAGCCUUGAUGUGUAGGAUAGGUGGGAGGCUUUGAAGCGUGGACGCCAGUCUGCGUGGAGCCAACCUUGAAAUACCACCCUUUAAUGUUUGAUGUUCUAACGUUGGCCCCUGACCGGGGUUGCGGACAGUGUCUGGUGGGUAGUUUGACUGGGGCGGUCUCCUCCCAAAGCGUAACGGAGGAGCACGAAGGUUAGCUAAUCCUGGUCGGACAUCAGGAGGUUAGUGCAAUGGCAUAAGCUAGCUUGACUGCGAGCGUGACGGCGCGAGCAGGUGCGAAAGCAGGUCAUAGUGAUCCGGUGGUUCUGAAUGGAAGGGCCAUCGCUCAACGGAUAAAAGGUACUCCGGGGAUAACAGGCUGAUACCGCCCAAGAGUUCAUAUCGACGGCGGUGUUUGGCACCUCGAUGUCGGCUCAUCACAUCCUGGGGCUGAAGUAGGUCCCAAGGGUAUGGCUGUUCGCCAUUUAAAGUGGUACGCGAGCUGGGUUUAGAACGUCGUGAGACAGUUCGGUCCCUAUCUGCCGUGGGCGCUGGAGAAUUGAGGGGGGCUGCUCCUAGUACGAGAGGACCGGAGUGGACGCAUCACUGGUGUUCGGGUUGUCAUGCCAAUGGCACUGCCCGGUAGCUAAAUGCGGAAGAGAUAAGUGCUGAAAGCAUCUAAGCACGAAACUUGCCCCGAGAUGAGUUCUCCCUGAGACUUUAAGUCUCCUGAAGGAACGUUAAAGACGAUGACGUUGAUAGGCCGGGUGUGUAAGCGCAGCGAUGCGUUGAGCUAACCGGUACUAAUGAACCGUGAGGCUUAACCUUACAACGCCGAAG
rnacentral:rRNA from 1 species